GCAAAACCUUAUUAGGGGCAUCGGUCCUUCUUUCCCACUUUUCUCUUCUCUCUUUGUGUUGGGGCGAUUUGAUUGAUGGCCAUAAGGCCCUGCUUGGAAUUCACCGUCUCCAACCACCACAAGCUCCUCUCUCGAUACCUCAACCGCCCUUCUUGUUCCUCCUUUCUCCCUCUUCCGGCCUCUCACUCCAAGCCGCUCCUCCGCCGCAUCGCUUCGUCGGCGACUCCAGUCACGCGCCCUCAGCGGCCGCUCUACCCGCCCACCGAAACCCUGGCGCAGAAGAUCUGUAAAUCGAUUCGCCGCCCCGGCGCCGCCUCGAAGGCCCGGAUAUACUCCGAUGUCAACGUCAUCCGCCCCAAGGAGUACUGGGACUACGAAGCCCUCACCGUCCAAUGGGGGGAGCAGGACGAUUACGAGGUGGUGAGGAAGGUUGGGAGAGGAAAAUACAGUGAGGUGUUCGAGGGGGUUCACUGUACAGAUAACGAGAAAUGUAUCAUCAAGAUUCUCAAACCUGUUAAAAAGAAGAAGAUUAAGAGGGAGAUUAAAAUAUUGCAAAAUCUUUGUGGAGGCCCAAAUAUUGUGAAGUUGCUUGAUAUCGUCAGAGACCAGCAAUCAAAGACGCCAAGUCUUAUUUUUGAAUAUGUGAAUAAUACAGAUUUUAAAGUUCUGUAUCCAACACUUUCAGACUAUGACAUACGAUACUACAUCUAUGAACUUCUCAAGGCUUUGGAUUAUUGCCACUCGCAAGGUAUUAUGCAUCGAGAUGUGAAACCCCAUAAUGUUAUGAUUGAUCAUGAGCAGCGUAAGCUUCGCCUUAUAGAUUGGGGCCUUGCAGAGUUCUACCAUCCUGAGAAAGAAUAUAAUGUUCGGGUUGCUUCAAGGUAUUUCAAAGGUCCUGAGCUUCUUGUCGAUUUACAAGAUUAUGACUAUUCUUUGGACUUGUGGAGUCUCGGUUGUAUGUUUGCUGGAAUGAUAUUUCGUAAGGAGCCAUUCUUCUAUGGACAUGAUAACUAUGAUCAGCUAGUGAAAAUAGCAAAGGUACUUGGAACUGAUGAAUUAAAUGCUUAUCUACACAAGUAUCGCAUAGAGUUGGAUCCACAUCUUGGUGCUCUUGUGGGGAGGCAUAGCAGGAAACCAUGGACAAAAUUCAUUAAUGUUGAUAAUCAGCAUUUAACGGUUCCUGAGGCCAUCGAUUUUGUAGACAAGUUGCUUCGUUAUGAUCACCAGGAAAGGCCAACUGCAAAAGAAGCAAUGGCCCAUCCUUACUUCUACCCAAUUAGAAAUGCAGAAAGCAGCAGAACUCGCACCCAAUAGAUUGAGUUCAAGAUGCUUGUUGAAUCAUGGUGUCUUCUUUGUGGUCGAGUCCACUCUGUUUACGUGCUUUGGUUCCCGCCAUUCUUCUACAAUCAAUUGGGAGAUUUGUAGUUAUUGUGCUUGCAAAAAAAAAAAGAAUUGUUGACAAAUUUCGAUCAUCCAAUAGUGAUAUUCUUUAUGCUUGAAGCAAAGCUUCUUUUGAAUUUCCCCAAAUUUACCUAAUGAUAUUAUUUGUUGACAAAUUUCCCCAAAUCCAGUGAUGUUUUAGUUCUAACAGUCGUGGUUUCCUUGAAUUAUGGAAUUUUAUCAUCCACUUUCUUAGCC